GACAAAUUGCCUUCUCAGAAGCCGCAACGCACCCAUCACAAACAAUCGAAGACAGAGGAGGACGGCAUUGCGCACUACCCAUCAGCAGGAGUUUAAACGCCCCAAUCUCGCGGCACAUCGGACGUGAGGGCGAGAGGGCAAGAAGGAAGGACCGUCGUGCCAAUUCGAAGUAGAGGCGGAAGGAACACCCAGCUGUGAGCCAUGGAUUUCAGCCGAGACACAGCACCCCGGCUGUCACAGCGAAGGGCGAAUGCAGACGAUGCCUGCGAAAGCAAGGGAGAUAGGAAGUGUUGGCUGUCAGAGCAAGAAGGGAAAUAAGCUCAGGCUGACAGAACAACGAAGUUCACCGUAUCAUCGCGUCGGGCACAGCGGGUCUCAGCAGGAUUCUUGCACUCGGGUCUAUUGCGCAGUUGCACUCCGUUGUGACAGUGUUUCUGGUGACGUCGCGCUGGUUUGCUCCCUGUAAAUGAGAGAUUGAAAUAAAGCCUACAGUUUA